rnacentral:lncRNA from 1 species
CCUCAGAUGAUCCACCUGCCUCAGCCUCCCAAAGUGCUAGGAUUACAGGCAUGAGCCACCACACCCGGCCAGAAUGAAAACUCUUAAUGUUGAUUUGUCUACUCCAAGUCCAACAAGGUGGUGAACACAAAAGCUAUGAAGUGCAUUGUGGCUGUAUUAUUAGUAGUACAGUACUCUUGUUGGCAAGUUCCUGAUCUGCAGCUACACAAUGGAUGAUAAUUAUGUACAUCUACCUUUUUUAAUAUGUAAGAAAAAAAAGUUGAGCCACAAGAUUUUAAGUAUGGAUCUUUAUUUCUAGUGCUACUAUUAAUGAUAGUUAAUAUUCAGAGAAAACAUACUGUCGCUGUGCAGGGAGCUCAGCCCUUUCCAAGCAUGACCUCAUUUAAUCUUAUAGCCACCCCAUGCGAGUAGGCACUGUUAGGAUCCCUGUUUAUGCAUGAGAAAACCAGGCUUAGAGAAAUUUAACACUUUGUCUACAAUCAAACAACUAGUGGGUAUCAAAGCUAGGAUUUAUAAUGGGAUAUGUAAGGCACUAAAACCUGUGAAGGUUUUCCUUUUUUCCUUUUUUAAUUCUUUCCUUUUUUCCUCUUUUUAUUUCCUUCUUUCUCUUUAUAUCUCUGUAUGUUUCCAAAGAGAUAAUAUAUGCAUAUGAUAAAAAAUUCAAAUGCUAGACAAAUUCAAACAUCUAGACAAAAUGGUGCAGAGAUUUAACAUUUGUUCCUUUUGUUGUUGUUGUAAAUGAGGCUUGGUUGUCUGUAGAGGCAGAGGAACACGGUAACAUCUUGACAUCAGACACUGGUGUCAUAGAUGCCCUUUCCUCAGAGGACUGAGAUCAUGGUUUUUAGAAUGAAAGAGUUAAAGAAACCUUGCUGUUUUUUUCUUUGAACCGGGUACCUACCCUUAACCCUGGAAUCCCUCAGUGGGGCCUAGUGCCAGUUCCCCUGCCUCCCUACAGUGACCAAGGGCAGGCAGGGGUCAAGAAACAACUAGAAUGGGGCUGGGGUCUGCACUGCACAACUGUUCUCUCACAUUCAUGCUUCCCUCCCAGUCUCUGAAGAUUCCCUCCUGCCAGAACAUUUUGUGUAGAAUUCUAAGGAAAUCAGAGUCUAUCCCUGUACUAACCAACAUAUAAAAUUCCAAUUAGAAGAGAAGUUGUUUGGAUUGGUCAUGAUGGAUGGCCUGGUGACAGCUGUCAGUCAGACGAGACCUGAUGGGCACCAGGACUGAAGGCAGCAGCACAGGAGGUAGGAGAGGAAGGAAUCCUGAGCAAAUAGCCAUGCUGUUUACUUGCCAAUGACAUCCCCACUUUGCAAAGACAUGAUAUGGUUAUUGAUCUCUCACUGAACCUGUAAGAAUCAAACACAACAACUCAGUUUUAUUCAUUUCAUAAAUGGUUUCCAAGUGCAGUCAGACAUUUAAUUUGUGGAACACUGAGCGAAGAGGUGAUUUCUGCUGGUUUAGGUAAGAGAGAAACGGUCUAGUGUAAUACUCAAGAAUGAGCUAGAUCUCCUGGAUUUAAGGCUUAUUCUACAGCUUAUUAGCUCUGCUAUGUUGGGCCAGUGACUUGACAUCUCCAUGCUUCAGUCUCUUCAUCUGUAAAAUGGAAAUACAAAGCGGGUGGGAGGUGUUGUGAGGAUUGAGUAGAUUAAUGCAUGUAAAGUGCUUGCAACGUUGCCUGACAUGUCACUGUCUGUUAGCUGUUAGCAGUAGUUGGGCUUUUUAUAGAGGGCUGGUGACUUGUGCUUGUCUGAAUGCAGGAAACCAGGCCUGUGUAGCCUUCGGUCUGUUCUAACACUGAAGUUUUGUAGUUGAGUGCUGACUGUGGUGCAUAAACUGAGCAUUUGGAUACCUACAUAUCACACCACAAGGUUUUGGAGGGGCUCACUUUGCUUUAAUCCCUGUUUCAUCCAGUUUCUCUUUUUCUCCACAUGCCUUCACAGAGGCAAGGGGAGCAUGCUGAGUCUAGAAUUUCUAAUCAAAGCUAACCACAUCCCUGUCAUUGUUGGAUAAUAUUACAAAUUAGACACGUUGUUCCUGUUUUGACUCAGAAUCACAGCAGGAAGCAGCUAAAUAAAACUGAAACAACCCACAAGUGCCUUUCACAUAAGUGAUUAGGGUAAUCGCAGUUCUGUACUUGCCAAAGGGAUUCAUUCCCUCUUCAUUUUUUCCAUGGAAAGCUUGCUUUGGGCCACAAGGCCUUCUCUUUGAAUGACUGCGCCAUUAUUGGCCAAGUAGUGCUGAUAAAUGGUACCUGUGGGUUGUUGUGGGAUUUAAGGAGAUGAUGCUUGGGAGCGCCCAGCACAGUGGCUGGCACACAGUAGGUGCAUCCUUUCUUACUUCUUCUUCCCCUGAUUAACGAGAACACUCUACACCAAGACACAUACCUCUUCUGAACGGUAUAAACCGUUGCUACUGAAAGUGUCUAGACCAGCAGCAGCAGGAUCACCCGGGAGCUUAUUAGAACUGCACAACCUUGGGUCCUCUGGGGCCUAUUGCAUUAGCAUCUGCCUGUAACAAGGCCUUCAGUGAUUUGUUUGCACACUGAAGUGUGAGAAGCACUGGUGUGAACUCACCAGGUAGGGAUGGAACCAGAGAUGGAGGUCUUAUUAACUUCAUGCUGGUAACUCCCUGAGCUAAUGGGCCCAUGAGGAAUAAAUUUGGUCUAAAGCCUGGUCAUUUGGAAAUGAACUAAAUAUACUUUACUCAGUCAGCUUGUGUAACAGAGCUCUCCAGUGGCAUGUGGGUCUUUUUCAGCAGUGACAAUAGUUUAUUUUUUAAAUAUACUCCACAAAUGUUGUUCUGGUGUGGAUCUUAAUGUGGAGAAAAUCAGACACCUUUUCAGUAAGCAUUUCUUUUGUUUCUGUGAUCAUGUUCAUGUUAGUUUAUUGUAUUUGUAUUAGUUUAUCUGUGGGACUAUCCCUUAAUAUUUCCCAAAACAAGAAGACAUUUGCGAAUGUUUUCAAGAUGCAUUGUACAAGAUACUGUUUUGAACUGGAUCAAUGAAGGAGAUGUUUGGUGGCCUUGGAAAGCCCUGGAGAGUAAUAGUGUGGUUCUAAGAAGAGUUGGCCUGAAUCAGUUCAUUCUUGGGUUGUUUGCUAAGAUUGUCUGCUGAAGGUGGGUACGUGGAAAACAAGAUGGUAAGCCAAGGAGGAUGAAGGGAGGCAUGCUGCUGGACCACUUCCAGCUCCCAAAUGACUGGAUCUUGGCCAUCUUGCUUUUCCUGCUAACUUAGAACUGAACUGCUUAUUCUAGAAAAUGAGAGGCACUGGGGCCAUAUAGGAAAGGGAUAGCAUUGGACCCAAGUCCUAGACUUUCAGUAGUUUGUUUGCAGGACCAGGGUCCCACCCCUUUUCCAAUUGAAAUGUAGGCAAGGUGGUGGCAAGCCCAUGGCCUAGGCUGUGGGAACUCAUAGAACAACUAUAGUGAUGAUCGCUGCCUUGGAUUGCAGCCUACUCUGAAUGUGUGCACCUGUGCUAACUACUUUCAGGUGUGUUGUCUUGUUUCAUAGACUCAUUACAUUUUUAUGAUGAAGUGAAACCCGUGAAUUGGCUCCUCCAGACUUCUCAUUUUAAUGACAAAAAAGUGGGUCUCCAGAGAGGAGCUGGGAUUUUCCAAGAUCUCAUAGUUUGUUCCUCACUUUUUGUCCGUAGGAGAAUCAUAGAAGAACCAGAUAAUCUUGUCUCUUAUAGAAGGAAUACCCUUACCCUUCCACAUUCCCGUGGUGGUGGUGUGUUUGCUUUUUUAUCAGUCUUAACCCAUGGGAGGCUGCACAACUUACAUAAGAGGCUACCUGUUCUGUUUGCCAAACGGCAGCCCAGACCCAUCACUGAGCAUGUCCUUGGCAAGAGGCACAACCUCAGGCUGACACUGUUUCCAUGUCCGUGAGAAAUGAUGUGUAUAAACGAUGGCCAGUAAGAUGCUCAUCUGUUGGGAAGACAACAGAGGGCAGGGCUGAGAGCAUGGCUUCCCUGCUGAUUGCCUGUGUUCAGAUCCCAGCUCAGCCGUGUGUAAGCUCUUGGUUCUUGGGGUAACUACUUGUUUACCUCUCUGAAAAAUGGGAGUAGAAAUAAUGAAUACUUUUAAUAGGAUUAUUUUGAGGAUAAAUGUAUUUAUUUAUGUAGAGAACUUGGCACGGCACCUGGCACAGAGUGAGCACUUAAUGAAUUUUGACUGUAAAUAGUUAUUACUGUUCCACUAGAUUCAAAUUUCUUAUCUUUGCCUUUAGCUGGAUGAGUGAGGAGAUUUGUACCAACGUCAUGUAUUCUCCUCUUCCCUGCAAAUUCCUCCACCUGAGUCCUAUUGAGGUGCUCCCCAUUAUAAGGAGUCCUGUGAAUCAAAGUGAAAGGUGUUCUCCUCAUGACGACCUGUUUGCCUCUGAUCUUAAGGACACUUUGAAGCAUACCGAGCAGGGGUCUGCAAACUUCUUUGAUAACAGGCAAGAUAGUAAAUAUUUUCAGCUUUGCAGGGCAGAGUCUCUGUCACAGCUACUCAACUCUUCUGUGGUAGCAGCCACAGACAGUGUGUAAGUGAUUGGACGUGGCUGUGUUCCAGUACAACUUCAUUUACAAAAACAGGGCUCAGGCCAACCCCUGAUAGAGAUAUUCAUGGUUUUUGUGUUUCUCUCUCAAAUGCUAACUACCAGAAAAGCUUAGAGUCAAAUCUGAAUCAUGCUUCUAGCAAAUAUGUACCUACACAUUUAGCAUACUAAUAUCACUCUUGCUUACCAGUUUUUACCCUGUUUUCUCACAUUUAUAUUCCAUUUGUCAUAAUUAUAGCUCCUGUCUUGACUGUAUCUUCUUUCACUGUGUUUUUUGUUGUUGUCGUUGUUGUUGUUUUUGGGAAUGGGAUAGGACUGUAAGUAAAUAAAUCAAUUAUAUCUUGCUAGCUUAGAAACCAGGACUUGAGUAACCACUUCUGACUCAAAGUUCAAUCUAUGUGGUUAAAUAGGGAAGCAGACCAUAAGAUGUAUGCCCAGUGGUGCACGUUGCUGACUCGCAAGCUAUGUGCAGGCUUUAGCAUUUAGUGUGGUGAUGUGUGCCCUCUAACCUGAGAUGUUGAGAGAGGGGCAGAGAAGAAGACUUCUUGUAGCCACAAAGUUUCAUUCCUUCCUCUCUCAUUGUUGUAGCAUUUCUUUUAAGUGAAAACAGCCUUUUUGGUUUGCUAGCCUAUCUCUGGCAGGAAGACAAAUUAUUUUUUUACAGUAUCAGACACGCGGUUUCCUGUCUAUGUUUAACUUGCUAGCAGAACAUCUCAGCCAGCUGGUUCCCUCUGGACCCAUUGUGUCCUUAAUGUCGUUGCUUUACACCAUCCAGCAAACCCACUCUGUGUACUGAUCGCAUGCAUUGAGCAUUUUGUUGACUUCCGUUGUUUUCCGAGUAAGGGAAGUCUUAGAAAUGCUGCCCUCUUUCUCCCAAAUCUCAUUUUAUGUUUGUUCAGCUCCAACACCAGGGAGCUGGCUUCUUGGGGAAAUGAUUAGUUCUUGCAUGUAAGAAAUGAAAAGAGUAAAUGGUGUUUUGGUAGCUCUGGGGGAUUUUAGGUAUGCUGCCUUGGAACUGUGCACUCACGCCUCAAAAUAGCUGGCUUUCCAGCUGUGCAUUUUUGUUUCAAAAGAAACAAACCAGAUUUACUUUCUGGUCUAAAUGCAGAAGAAAAAAUAAGUGUGGAAAUAUGGUUGAGAAAAGUUGUUAGAAGAGGAAGAAAAUUAUGGAUUAAAGUUGCUAGUCUCAUUCCUGAGAAGAGAAAUCAGUUAUUUGAGGUGAUGACUCAGAGCUGAAGCAGCUUUUUGUUGUGAACCAGCCUUGGUUAGAAAGCACACUUGGAAUUCAUCAAUAUGGCCCUAUGUCUGGCCAAGGAAAUAAUAAAGAUUUUGCAUGAUAGAGGACACUGUGACUCAGUUGAAGGAAGCUUAGAAUGUAUUUGAACUGAAUUAAGGCAAAAGCAACUCGCUUUUCAAGAUUUUUUUUUUUCCUAAGUAGCAAAGUAAACAAAGCUGCACUGAGGCCAGAUGUGCUUUCUGGUUGUGAAUAUUUGUACUCUAGAACCUCAUUCUGGUAUGAAUCAGCAGAGUGGAAUCUAGUAUGGACACAGGCUGUCUCAAAUUCCAUCCACUGGAUAUGAGUGGCCAAGAAAGCAGUCGGACCCAUACUGCUGGUGCUGUAGCAAGGUUCGGGUGGUUCCUCUGCAGCCUCAGGUCUCUCCCACUGCGGCCUCCAUGUGUUCCAUAAACUCCACACCCAUGAGUAAUGGCAAGAAGGGUCCACUGAGACCUUUUGCUGCUUUGCGAGUGUCUCAGUGUCCCACCAGGGGAAAAAAAAGGCUCAGGGAGGUGGCUAACCACUGUGAAAUUGACUUUUAUUUCCACCCACGUAUACUCCAGAGGCUGUAUUCACCACCAUUUGGACAUCUGGAUGACUUGCCUUUGGAAAGUCCUUUUGUAUUCUAAAUCGCUCCUGCAUGUUACCUGUUGUGGAAAAUAUCAAUUUUGCCAUUACAAAUUAUGCUUUUUUUUAAAAACAUGUUAACUUUUAGAGAAAUAAUUUAUAUUUGCUUAUCUACUUUUAAAAAUAUACAUAUAUAUGCCUUUUGUUGCCUAAUUAGAGGAUAUAGUUGGUUCCAAUGUCAAGAACAAUUUCUCUGAAAUGUAGUCAUUAAAAUUAUUCCCAUGUCUUUCAUUUUCCAGGCCCCAUCCUAUUCGAAAUACCUGUUUCUUCCACCAGGCUGAUGUAGUUAUGCUUAGGCUUGGCUGCACAUUGGAAACACCUGAGUAGCUUUAAAAACUACUCAUUAACUGGGUCUUACUCCUGCAGUUUCUGACUUAAUUGGUCUGGGGCCUGGUAUCAGGAAUUAUUUUUUAAUUCUUCAAGAUAUUUUAAUAUGCAGCCCACAUUGGGAACCACUGGACUCAAGACAGUUUGUUCUGCCAAAUCUUUUUAUAUUUUUCGUCACGUUCCCCCUGUAGCCUGGAAAGGGACGGUAACAAUUAAAGAAUGGCAGCUACCACAGGAAGGAGCCAAAAUUAUGCCUUCGAAGGUUAGAGGAGGAGAAAAACCAACACCUGUUUUACCCCAUCCUUGGAGGAAUAGCAAGACACUUUAAGAGGGGAUAUUAUUUUGUUUUCUACAACAAUUUACAAGCAAUUGCUUUGGAACAAGGUCAACGGCCUCAUUGGGAAUAGGCAUCUUAGCUUUUAAAACUGAUUAAAUUAUACGUUAAAGGAAAGCACAUUUUAAACCUUAAUGUGUCCAAAAGGUUGGAUGGCAAGGUUUGGGUGCUACUGCCUUGGCAGAGACAAGGCAGGGACCAGGGAGGCUGUGUGCAUGAUUUUAGGAGGUGAGAAACUCAGGUGGGAAGGAAUUGCAGAAGCCUGUGGUUCACCUGGAAAGCCAGGGAGAGAGAGAGGAUGUAUUCUGGUGACCUAACAGGUAUUGUGAAUAAUGAAUAUGCUUUUCCAAAGCGAUCUGGUCUCCCUGUUGGAGAGCAUCCUGAAAUAACUUAAGAAAUGUACCUUGCUUUCAGGUUUCCUGAGAACAUGAGGGCCCCUAGACAGAGUACAAGGUGUAAUUCAGACAGCCAGCCAGAAAAAGAAUUAAAGAAUCAGGGCAGGUGUGGGGAUCCUAACAAAACCUAAGCUUUUAGUAGUCAGAAAACUGCAAUAACACAGAAAAGAAAAUGAAAAAAAAUCUUGUUCCAAAGAACAUAUAUCAGGUGUGAAACUCUCUUUGUGGGAGGACAGAUGUGUCAUCAUUUCCUGGACAAAGCCUGGUACCUUGUAGGCACCCUCCUAAUGUUGGUUGCCCUCCUUUUAAAGUCAGAGCAAGAGAAGUAGCAGGAAUCUAUAUCCUAAGGAGGAACAUAAAGGGUGAAAAGCACAGUGGAAGGGAUGCCUAAAAGAGCAAAGGCUGAAUCAGGGUUUUAAUGGCCUGAAAUGACCAAUUUUCUAAAACUUGACAGGUAGAUGUAAAAUCAGACAUAUAGGUUCAAACAAUCGAUUGCAAAGGAGCACUUGUCAAAACACUGGCUGGGAAUCUGCUCAUGUGAUGAAGACCCCAGGGUUUAGAGGUGAGUUAAGGUCAUUUUGAAAUCAGGAUGAUCUGGCUGAAAGAAUCAAAACAAAACAGAAAGAACAAACCAUCAGGAGCCUUAAACUCCACUUGGUGGAAGAGGAGGUGAGAGUCCUGCUGUAAUCUUUGCUACACAAGUUAUAUUCCAAGUAUUAUAUCUGUGUCUAUCAAAACACAUGAUGAAGAAUCUUAAAUAGCAAGCGUGGUUUCAGAGAACAGAUCACUUUACCCUUAGAAAAAAGGUCCUGGCAUUUAUUGGGCGCUAUAUGCUGGGCAGGCUGAUUUUAGGGUCUGAUAAAUCUGUCAGACUUUAGAGUCUCAUCAAUGUAUCUCUUGAAAAGUAACCGAGGAAAACAUGGCUGUUCAACCUGAAAAUGAAAUGAUCUAGGGGUUGUGAGUUUCAUAUCCAGCAGGAGUUUAAUAGUUCUCAUCCCAUAGAAAACGGAUUCAUUUUGUUACUUUUUGCUUUAGAGAACAGCAGAAGGACCAAUAAUAGAAGCACACAGAGGCUACAUUUGACUUAAUGUAAAGAAUAAUUUUAAACAUAUCCCAAUAUUUAGACUUUAUCCCAAUAUAUCUGCAGUUAGAAAUAUUGUGAUUUGAUUAUGGAAUGAUAACAAAGGAAUGAUGUCCUUCUACCAUAACAUUUUCAGGCAGAGGUUUCACCUCUACCUCUCAUGGGUAUUCUAGAAAGAGAUUAUCAUACUGGAUUAGAAUACAUGCAAGGCUUUUCCAUCUGGGAGAGAGAUAAGAAGGAAAUAAUACAAAGGAGACUGUGCCAUGGGAUAGGAGAGGUGGCGAAUAGCUUUGUUCUGAAAUAUGUGCAGUUGGAAUAAAACAACCACAUUGAUUGGAGAGAAGACUUCUUUCAUCAUUUGAGGAAAAAAUACUCUCAAAAUAUAUCCAGAAUGUCAAACAGUGCUAUCAAUAGCUAGAAGUUAAAUUAAAUCCUUCAUUGCUAGUGAGCUUACUGUCCUUUUGUUGUUUAAUUGAAAUGACUUUUUAUUGUUUGCCUAAAUUGGUGUGCUUUUUACUAGGAUGAUGGAUGGGGAAGCAUAUCUCAUUCUACACUCCUCCACCAGUUAAUUGACUAGAAAAUUAUCAUGGGCCAUUUUCUCAUUGGCUAGUGCUGAAUACAGCUGUACCAGAGCUUUGCAAACAAUUCCACUAAGAAAUUUUUUGUAGGAGGAAAGCAUCUCUAUGGCAGAGUACCAAAGAACUUAACUUUAUUUUUGCUAAACUGUUUAGCAAGAAUAAAAUUUACCUCUGAAACUUGAAUGUGUAAAUGAAUCACUGAGAGAACUUUUAAAUGUAGAUUCUGAUUCAGUUAGUUGAGGACAGCGCUAAGACUCUGCAUUUCCAGUAAGUUCCCAGGGGAUGCUGAUGACUGCUGGUCUGCGGGCACACUUAGAAUAACGAGGUGACAAGUUAUUCUUUAUGUAACAUGCCAACAAAAUUUUUAAAGGUACAGAAAAUGAUGGCAAGAUCUUUGAACUCUGCAAUAUGAAGCAUAUAUGUGAGUGCUUAGCUUUCACUCUCUUUCUGUGUGUGUGUGUGUGUAUACAGAUACUAAGACACAGAUACAUUCACAUAUAUACAUCUAAAUAUAUAUACAGUACAGUCCAUAUUCAGAUUUCUUCAAGGUUAAUGGGUCUAUUGUUUAAAUUCGGAAUCCAGUCAAGGACAACACAUUAAAAUUGAUUGUUUUGCCUCUACAGUGUGUUUUUUUGGUUUUCAUGACAUUGACUUUGAUUUGAAUAGGUCAGACCAUUUCAUGUACUUUAUAAAGGCACUUUGUAGAUUUGUCUGAUGAUUUGAUUAAUUCAGAUUAAACAUUUUUUAAAGA